AUCGACAAUCCCCGAUAANUUUCACUUUAUUCUAAAUUUAUAUACCGCCAUCUCAAGAGUCAAUUAAAAAAUACUUCUCCCAAAAACUAAUAAAAAGUUAGGUCAAGGUGUAAUUAAUAAUAAAGAACAAGAUUAAUUACACUAAAUACGAUUAAAAGAUUAUAAAUAAAACAACUUAUACAAAUAAGAAUUUAAAAGUAAUAUUAAAAUAAUAAUAUAAUAUGAUAUAUACAAUAAAUGUGCACACAUCGCCC
rnacentral:rRNA from 1 species